AUUGUAGAUGUGCGGAUGUGCUACCGGCAUUGAUUGUUCUUAGCUGGUCACAGUGGUUCAGUUGCAUCAAAAAUAUAUAAUCACUCUAUUAGCAAAAAGUUACUCCAGAGUAAGGAUGGGGUUGGGCCUAAUAACUAUUAGGUGAGAGAUCCAAUGACGGCCUUAUACCUAUUUGUGAACGAUGGGUCAGGCUUAACUAAAAAGUAUAGGUAAUAACUAUUAGAUGAGCCCAC
rnacentral:lncRNA from 1 species